GACGAACCGUGCAAACGUUAUUCGGAAUCACUGGGCUUAAAGGGCGCGUAGGCGGCUCGCCCAGUCGGGGGUGAAAUCUCCGGGCUUAACUCGGAGCGGCCAAGUGAUACUGUCGUGCUAGAGUGCGGAAGGGGCUACUGGAAUUCUCGGUGUAGCGGUGAAAUGCGUAGAUAUCAGGAGGAACACCGGUGGCGAAGGCGGGUCUCUGGGCCGAUACUGACGCUGAGGAGCGAAAGCGUGGGGAGCGAACAGG
rnacentral:rRNA from 1 species